CCAAGUCCCGACGCUCUCCCCCCAGCGCCGGGACUCUCCGAGAGCCGGGCCUCGGCGCCUCCCCCCCCCCUGGCGCCGAGGCCCGGCUUCUUU
rnacentral:ncRNA from 1 species